UGUGAUUCAACAAUCCUGUGCACAUGCAGAUUUAAUCGCCUCAUCUACAUGGUGAACGUUCUUCUUGGGUGCGUUUCCCUCCUUUGGCUGCCAUUCCGCCACUAGUCUCGACCACCAUCCCCCAUAUCCCUCUUAGUGUGGGGUUUUAUGAAAACUAAAAUGUAUUGUAAGACAGGAAGGCUGUGCAAGCUCACGUUUCUCAUGCAGAUGCAAAGAGAUUGGCACAAACAAGGUGCUCUGACCCUUGUGCAAUGACUUGUGCAACCCUGCCAGCUGUAAUGAAUUGCCUUUUCACAUUGACAUAGAGUGUAUCAGGGUUUCGAUUUAAGUGAUCUUAAGGGUGCAGAUUACAUCAAACCAUGCUGUAAAAAGUGGAUAACAGAAAUGGAAGCGCAAAACCUACUAUGCACAAGAUGUUUUCCACGGCCAUUCCAAGGAAACUGUGGAUCAAACACCACGUCUACGUAAAUCGAAUAAUUUGGAGAGCAUCUGGAGAUGCAGUUGCGUUUAUACGCUUUUUAAAACCCUACUGCACUGUAAUGCAUUGAAACCAAGCAGCAGCAACAGAACAAGAAAUUACAAUUCUUUCACAGCAGGGACUUAUGGUGAUAUUGGUAGGAAUUUGUAAUAGCUGCAACUUGAUUUGGACUGUCAAUGGAGAUGAGCACCACCCGAUUCUCAUUUCAGAUGCCGGUUUUGUAACUCGACCACCUACGGCGUGUGCAUUUGGUAGUGCAACCAUGUACACAUGGAGAUUCCUCUCCACAGGCACACACCCCUUGAAAUACUUUUAGCUAUUGGCCAUCCUUUGACUUUAAGUUUGUGUGUUAUAAUAGGAACGAAACAACAUGUCAAUAAGUAAAUCACUAGCCUUGUUCUACCAACUACUGGAUAAAGGCCUCCCCCCCACACUGUUGGAAUCGCUCAGUCCUGCAAUGACACAGUCCAUCAUUUCGUAUCCUGCACAUGAGCGGAUGUCUUCGCUUCAUCACCGCUUCCGUCAUCCCCUGAUACGUGUUCUUUUCUUUGGCUGCCAAUUCGUCAACUGUCUUGCCCGGUGGUCAUCGUCUCUUCUCAACACGUGACCUGCCCAAGCCCACAUUUUCCUUCACCAUCACUAUGGUGUCUUUAACGGCCUGAGAGCUCACCUCGGCCUGCGCGAGGCUGGAGCUGCUGACUCGCGGCGCAUGGUGCGACAGCACCGAGAGGCACGCGAGCAGCAGGUGCACGGCGCCGAUCUCCAGCGCCAUGCGGCGCAGCAGCACGCCGUCGUCCGUCGUGAGCGGCGUGGCGCUGAAGAGUGUGCGCAGCACGUGGAAGGGCAGUGUGGGCAGGACGCCCGCCGAUGGCGAUUGCAGGAUAUGGCCUGCGCACGCACGCGCAAGGGAGAGAGAUGUCGGCUCCUAGAAACAGCACGCAUUGCACUUGCGUUUUCACUUACAACCGCGCUCGCUCCCCGUGAACUCGUCGCCAGCCAUUACCACAUCGAAGUGCUCCAAAUCGUUCAUUGGGAAUUUUUUUUUUCUAAAAAAAAAAACACUUGUGGGGGGAGAGAUCGCACCAUUAAUUUUUCAUGACACAAUUUUGACUGGAAUGUCAGCAACACUUUUAAAACAAAUAAAUUACCGUCAGUUCAAAACUAUAA